GAGGGUAUAGCUCAGUGAUAGAGUGCAUGCCUAGCAUGCACAAGGUCCUGGGUUUAACCCCCAAUACCUCCA
rfam:Camelus ferus unplaced genomic scaffold scaffold959, whole genome shotgun sequence.